UCCUACGGGGGGCAGCAGUGAGGAAUAUUGGUCAAUGGCCGGAAGGCUGAACCAGCCAAGCCGCGUGAAGGACGAAGGUGCCAAGCAUUGUAAACUUCUCUUGUCAAGGGACAAAAUCAGGCUCGAGAGCCUGACCGAGGGUACUUGAAGAAAAAGCAUCGGCUAACUCCGUGCCAGCAGCCGCGGUAAUACGGAGGAUGCGAGCGUUAUCCGGAUUUACUGGGUGUAAAGGGGGCGCAGACGGCGAUGCAAGCCAGGAGUGAAAGCCCGGGGCCCAACCCCGGGACUGCUCUUGGAACUGCGUG
rnacentral:rRNA from 1 species